GAGUGGGUAGAAUAGUUAAAAAAAUUCAUUUGAUUAACAUUUCUUUAAGUUUACAAAAGAAUUCACAACUAAAUAGAGAACAUACAAAUCAUAAAACAGACCAUAAACAAAACUAUUACACAUGGAACUAGAUAUCAUUCCUCAACAUAGUAAGUUUGGUCUCCACUUGACACAUUCAUUUGUACCACUUUGGACAGAAGACUUUGGAAGACUUCCCGAAGAUUUCAUGGGAUGUCUUCUAGCAUAAAAUACAUUAGAAGAUUUCUCAAGAAGUCAGCCAAGAGUCUUCCAAGAGUUUCUGAGAGUCUUCCAAGAGUCUUAUAAGAAAUCUUCCAAAGUCUACCUCAUAUCUGAAAAAUCUGCAUAUUCAAAAGCAUUCAAAUGGCUUCAAACAGCUAAAUCUUCAAAAAUAAUUUUUUAUGUUUAAAUAAUAAAUAAAACAAUCAAAUUAGGUUAAAUCUAUAAUUUUUUAGAAUCUAAUAUAUAAAACACACAAUACAUAUCCAAAAUUUGUAUAAAUUUGAGCAGAAAACUUUGGAAGACUUCAUGAAGACUUCGUGGGACGGCUUCUAGCAUAAAAUCCAUUAGAAGACUUCCAAAGAAGUCUUCCAAGAGUCCUCUGAGAAAUCUUCCAAAGUGUGAUUUAAAUCUGAAAAUUUUACAUAUUCAAAAGCAUUCAAAUAGUUUCAAACAUGGAAAACUUCAAAAACAUUUUUUUAUGCUUAAUAAUAAACAAAAAAUUCAAAAAAAAAAACUCAACGACACAUACAUUGAGCCACCUAAACAAAUACAAACUACAUGACCAACUAUUUAACAAUUUAGAAACUUACUUUCGAUGCUUACGAAGAAGACGAAGACGACAACCAAGAUCAGUGAAAUUACCUAAACAAAAAGUAGAGUAAGUUACAAACUCUGAUAAAUACAACUAAUAAUGAUUUUUGUUUACAUAUUAUCCAUCAAAUAAAAUAGAAACAAAUACAACCACACCAGGAGAUACAAGAGACAAUCCCAACAGACACAAAACAACAACAACAUCUCCACCUCCUCAUUCCCUUUGUCUUAUGAAAAUAGCUUACAUGUUCAAUGUCAACAGGCCAAUGCUAUUGUUUUCUUAUGAGCAAUACAUAUAUUCGUUUAAAACCUAUUAAGUCCCAAAUACUAACUCAUUUUAUAAUUAUUUCUACAAGUCUUCAUUUGUUUUAAGGUUCGACAAAAGCAACAAGUUUAAAAAUAAAAUAAAAACAUAUAACCAACAUAAUAAGAAUA
rnacentral:lncRNA from 1 species